AUGGCCCUUACGCCUGGGGCUACACACGUACUACAAUGGUGCAUACAAAGGAUUGCGAUACCGNGAGGUGGAGCUAAUCCCAUAAAGUGCAUCCCAGUCCGGAUAGGAGUCUGCAACUCGACUCCUUGAAGUCGGAAUCGCUAGUAAUCCCGGAUCAAGCAUGCCGGGGUGAAUGCGUUCCCGGGCCUUGUACACACCGNCCGUCACACCACGAAAGUUGGUUCUACCCGAAACCAGUGAGCUAACCAGCAAUGGAGGCAGCUGUCUACGGUGGGGCUGAUGAUUGGGGUGAA
rnacentral:rRNA from 1 species